GACACACCACUACCAAGUAUCAGAAUCCAAGUCCAAUGCUUUUCUUCACGAUGCUUAUCACUAGGGGUAUUCCUCCACUGAUUUACAUCACAGUCCAUUCAUAAGAUGAUCUUCAUAAGUUGAUCUGGUCAAAGACAUUAAUGAAGUGUUAACUGCUCAAGAAGUGACUCCUACAUGUAACAGAGGGAGGAAAUCCUGUGUAUGUCCUACUUGUGGCCCAGGAAAGAGAGAGAAACCAGGCCUCCAAAAAGCAGGAACAGGCAAUGAGUGUCUCUCUGCUUCCUCUUGCUUUUAUCACCCA